rnacentral:lncRNA from 1 species
GCGUGGUGUCAGUAAAAAGCUUCCAAACAGUUAGGGCUGUUUGAAAGUGAAAUGGGCUGCCUUGGGAGGCAACUGUUUCCCCUCCCUGAAAACUUUAAACAAAAACUGGAUAAGAUGUCUGUUGAAAUCCUUCUGCCUCGGAAGAUUUUUCAGACAUUUCUCAAUUGAUGGGCACCAUACUUUGCUUCCAAUUCUUUGCUACCUGCCAGUAUUUUGGAUCUUUGUUGCUGUCAUUCACUUCCUUGGAGGAUAUAUACUAAGCAGAGUCCACACUGAAUGCCACAGCCUUCUCAUUCAUGCCCAACUGAAUCUGGUUAAAAACAAGGGAUUGGAUAAUCCUUAAGUCAUAAUUAUGAGGUAAGGAAGUUUAUUGCCUAAAAUCUGAUGUUAUUCAAUAUUACCAAUUCAAUAAACCUUAUUAAGUGGCUAUUAAGGGCCAAGCACUUCUUUGAACAAGUAGGCAGAGACAGGUUACUACUGCACUGAAGGCAGAGAAGGAUCAGUGGUAGCUGAAAUCUAGUUUUUAUCAGGAAUAUAUAAGCUACUUAAAUU